rnacentral:tmRNA from 1 species
GGGGCUGACUGGAAUCGACAGGAAAGAUUAUUUGUUAGUAAGCACGUCGGAGCAGAAUCGCUCACUCCGUUAACAAAUGGUGAUUAACAACUUUCAAAUGGCAAUCACAGAUUCGCCAUGGCAGCCUAAUUCUAGGAAUUAGAAUGCUUUUGUGCCGUGCGUUUGACACCUAAUACACAACGUGCCGCAUAUCAACCCGCUCGAAAGAGCAUUUAGGUUAGCUGCGUAGGAGGUCUCGACUACAAUGCGAAAUUCAGAGAAUAAGCCGGUGAUAAUUAGGUGGGUUUCUCCCUAUUCAUCGGACGAAAAUUAAAUGGAAAAUAAGCGUGUAGAAAGCUCUCAGAUGCUUUGUCUGGACCCGGGUUCAACUCCCGGCAGCUCCACUA